AGUGAACGCUGGCGGUAGGCCUAACACAUGCAAGUCGAACGGCAGCACAGUAAGAGCUUGCUCUUACGGGUGGCGAGUGGCGGACGGGUGAGGAAUACAUCGGAAUCUACUUUUUCGUGGGGGAUAACGUAGGGAAACUUACGCUAAUACCGCAUACGACCUACGGGUGAAAGCAGGGGAUCUUCGGACCUUGCGCGAUUGAAUGAGCCGAUGUCGGAUUAGCUAGUUGGCGGGGUAAAGGCCCACCAAGGCGACGAUCCGUAGCUGGUCUGAGAGGAUGAUCAGCCACACUGGAACUGAGACACGGUCCAGACUCCUACGGGAGGCAGCUGUGGAGAAUAUUGGACAAUGGGCGCAAGCCUGAUCCAGCCAUACCGCGUGGGUGAAGAAGGCCUUCGGGUUGUAAAGCCCUUUUGUUGGGAAAGAAAAGCAGCAGGUUAAUACCCCGCUGUUCUGACGGUACCCAAAGAAUAAGCACCGGCUAACUUCGUG
rnacentral:rRNA from 1 species